rnacentral:rRNA from 1 species
GAUGAACGCUGGCGGCGUGCCUAAUACAUGCAAGUCGAGCGAACAGAUAAGGAGCUUGCUCCUUUGACGUUAGCGGCGGACGGGUGAGUAACACGUGGGUAACCUACCUAUAAGACUGGAAUAACUCCGGGAAACCGGGGCUAAUUCCGGAUAACAUUUAGAACCGCAUGGUUCUAAAGUGAAAGAUGGUUUUGCUAUCACUUAUAGAUGGACCCGCGCCGUAUUAGCUAGUUGGUAAGGUAACGGCUUACCAAGGCAACGAUACGUAGCCGACCUGAGAGCGUGAUCGUCCACACUGGAACUUAGACGCGGUCCAGACGCUUAUGAGAGUCAGCAGUAGGGAAUCUUCCGCAAUGGGCGAAAGCAUGACGGAGCAACGCCGCGUGAGUGAUGAAGGUCUUCGGAUCGUAAAACUCUGUUAUUAGGGAAGAACAAAUGUGUAAGUAACUGUGCACGUCUUGACGGUACAUAAUCAGAAAGCCACGGCUAACUACGUG